rfam:Gossypium raimondii Chr01_contig_80, whole genome shotgun sequence.
GGGCGUAGGCCUCUUAAAAGGAGUGCAAAGGCAGAAGGGAGCUUGAUUCAAGACCCACCUGUCUAGUAAGGACGAAAAUCAGCUUUAGUGAUCCGAUUGUGCCGAGUGAAAGGGUCGUCGCUCAAC